CAUGAAGCUGGAAUCGCUAGUAAUCGCGGAUCAGAAUGCCGCGGUGAAUACGUUCCCGGGUCUUNUACACACCGCCCGUCACACCAUGGGAGUCGGAAAUGCCCGAAGUCUGUGACCUAACCGCAAGGGAGGAGCAGCCGAAGGCAGGUCGGAUGACUGGGGUGAAGUCGUAACAAGGUAUC
rnacentral:rRNA from 1 species